GAAAUUUAAGGGCGUACGGUGGAUGCCUUGACUUUAAGAGGCGAUGAAGGACGUGGCGUUGCUGCGAUAAGCUUCGGGGAGGUGCUUAGCAACCUUUGAUCCGGAGAUUUCCGAAUGGGGAAACCCUAUUGAGUAAAACUCAAUAAUUUUUAACACAAGUUAAAAAAGCAUACCCUGGGAAGUGAAACAUCUCAGUACCAGGAGGAAUAGAGACAAAUAUGUAUUUCCUAAGUAGCGGCGAGCGAAAAGGAAGAAGCCCAAACCCAGCCCCACUUUUACGAUGCGAUUUUAUUUCUAAUUGAUAAAUUAUGAGAAAAUAACUAUUGAAAAGAAAAAAUUGUCUGCAAGACAAUUUUUUUUAGAAUUCGUUUUGUAAAAGUGGGGCUGGGGGUUGUAAGAUGACAAUGUAGUUUACUAGAAGAGUCAAAAAAUAAAUUAUUAGUUGAAGUUGCUGGAAAGCAACACCAGAGAAGGUGAUAGUCCCGUAAACGAAAAUAAUUUAUCUCUUUUAUUGUUAUUCUUGAGUACCCCAGGACAUGAAUGGCCGGGGGGAAUCUAGCGGAACUAACCGCUAAGGCUAAAUACUCUUAAAGAUCGAUAGUGAACUAGUACCGUGAGGGAAAGGUGAAAAGCAGCCCGAUUAGGGCGGUGAAAUAGACCUGAAACCGUAUGUCUACAAGGAGUCGAAGUUCGUCUUCGGAUGAACGACGGCGUGCCUAUUGAAGAAUGAGCCAACGAGUUUAUUCAUGUUGCUGGCUAAGCUGACUAAAACAGUGGAGCCAUAGGGAAACCGAGUGUUAAUAGCGCAAAAUAUUUUGUCGCAAGACAAAUAAGGUAACAUGCAUAAGACCCGAAGCCAGGUGAGCUUGCCAUGAGCAGGAUGAAGUCCGUCGAAAGACGGAUGGAGGUCCGAACGGGUAGAUCGUACAACGUCUUCCGAUGACUUGUGGUAAGGAGUGAAAAGCUAAUCGAACCUGGUAAU
rnacentral:rRNA from 1 species